GAGGCAGUAAUGCAAUUAAAAAGGAUGCCAACUGCUGUAAAACACCAAAGAAGAAGAAUUUUCACUGUAACACAAGCUAAAGAACAGCAUGAUUCAAGACCUCCUUUAAUCUUGUUCCAUCUGCCUGUGUGAUCCUCGGAGAAGCUUUGUUUGUGAGUAGAUUAAUUCAUCAAUGUUUUUAGGAAUUAUUUCUGCUCAUACUUCAUUGUAUUUCAUAAUAUUUGUUUACAUUAUUUCAUAGUCACUUAUGAAUUAUUUGCAGUUUCACACUACAACUUGACCACAUGAAAGUGCUGUAUCUUCAUUAAACGGACGUACAAGUGCACGUUGAUAACUUACUUUAUGCUCCAUCAUUGAAGCUACCUAGGGCUACUUCAGUCAAGUCAGAGCUCCGCCGAGCUCCGCCGGCGGAGCUCGACAAGAUGAAAUUAACUUUCGUUUCUAUUUGGAUUAACUUCACGUCCUGUUAUCAUACAGACGCAACAAAAAUAUUGACAGAAACCUUAGAAUCGCAACUUUCCAAUGCGCACAUUCGGCAAAUAAUAUUAAUUGUUUUAAAAGUUUUAAAUUUGAUUAAUUAGACCAUGUAUGCUUCGUUAAACUUUACUCAUUACUACGUGAAUUUCGCUCAGCAGGAAGUCCUCCCAAAUCGCAUUCACAUGUUAACAACAUUAUAAUUACUUUCCAUAGAAGGAGAUUAAAGGAGGCGCGAUGCGAGAUCAUGUGAGAAAUGUUAAGUCUGCGAAAACGGGAUAGAAUGUCAGUGUCGCCAUAUUCACUUCUCUUGAGGUGUACAUUUCGUUUAUUUUUGGAAAAUGGUCCGUCCGGAAGCCGACACGGAUGAAGAGCGGUGUCAUUUCGAACAGCGAACUGAUCCAGCUGAGGAUCAACUUCUUGCAUGCUGAUCAGGAAACACGGCCUAGUUCACCACUAGCUAAGAAGCCACGCAAGUGUUGCAAGAGUACAACCAGUCUCAUCUCAUCUUCCAUGCGUAUAGUUUGCUUCAAUAAAUGUUCUGAAAAUCAAAA